UCUAGGAAACGUGAUAUCUUC
rnacentral:piRNA from 1 species